rnacentral:rRNA from 1 species
UGGGGAAUAUUGCACAAUGGGCGCAAGCCUGAUGCAGCCAUGCCGCGUGUAUGAAGAAGGCCUUCGGGUUGUAAAGUACUUUCAGCGGGGAGGAAGGUGUUGUGGUUAAUAACCACAGCAAUUGACGUUACCCGCAGAAGAAGCACCGGCUAACUCCGUGCCAGCAGCCGCGGUAAUACGGAGGGUGCAAGCGGUAAUCGGAAUUACUGGGCGUAAAGCGCACGCAGGCGGUCUGUCAAGUCGGAUGUGAAAUCCCCGGGCUCAACCUGGGAACUGCAUCCGAAACUGGCAGGCUUGAGUCUUGUAGAGGGGGGUAGAAUUCCAGGUGUAGCGGUGAAAUGCGUAGAGAUCUGGAGGAAUACCGGUGGCGAAGGCGGCCCCCUGGACAAAGACUGACGCUCAGGUGCGAAAGCGUGGGGAGCAAACA